rnacentral:siRNA from 1 species
UAAGAUUCGAGAGGCCGCUU